UCCCCGUUAUCCUGGGCAGUCCCUCCAGAGUUCCCGGCAUAACCCGUUGGCAACUGGAGGCAGGGGUUGCGCUCGUUGCGCCACUUAAGGCAACACCUCACGGCACGAGCUGACGACAGCCACGCACCACCUGUGCAGGCUCCGAAGAGCGUCGGCUUUCACCGAUUUCACCCUGCAUGCCAAGCCCAGGUAAGGUUCUUCGCGUCGCAUCGAAUUAAGCCGCAUGCUCCGCCGCUUGUGCGGGCCCCCGUCAAUUCCUUUGAGUUUCAGCCUUGCGGCCGUACUCCCCAGGCGGGGCACUUACUGCGUUAGCGACGGCACCGGGAGGGUCGCUCCCCCCGACGCCUAGUGCCCAUCGUUUACGGCGUGGACUAC
rnacentral:misc_RNA from 1 species